AUGAAAACUGAAACCAUCAAUCAGCUCCUGCAGGAGAAACAAGCAGCAGAGAAACUGAAGAAUGAGUUCAAGUCCAAAUGUCACGAGAUGAUCAACUCUGAGAAGGAUGAAAUCAUUCAGAAGCUGAUGGAAACAUUUCUUACACUGGAAUCAAAGGUCAGUGAAAGCAUCUCUCAGCAGACAGAGGUAAACAUGGACACAUGUGAUGCUGUCAUCCUCCCAAUGAUCACAGACCUCCAUCCAUCCAUCCAUCCAUCUUCAUCCGCUUUAUCCGAGGCCAGGUCGCGGGGACAGCAGCCUAAGCAGAGAAGCCCAGACCUCCCUUUCCCCAGCCACCUCCUCCAGCUUAUCUGGGGGAACACCAAGGCGUUCCCAGGCCAGCUGAGAGAUAUAAUCUCUCCUGCGUGUCCUGGGUCUGCCCCGGGGCCUCCUCCCGGCGGGACAUGCCCGGAACACCUCACCCAGGAGGCAUCCUUGUCAGAUGCCUGAACCACCUCAACUCGCUCCUUUCGAUGUGGAGGAGCAGCGGCUCUACUCUGAGUCCCUCCCGG
rnacentral:lncRNA from 1 species